rnacentral:rRNA from 1 species
GGACUACAGGGGUAUCUAAUCCUGUUUGCUACCCACGCUUUCGUGUUUCAGCGUCAGUUGCGGUCCAGUAAGCCGUCUACACCACAGGUGUUCCUCCUGAUAUCUACGCAUUUCACCGCUACACCAGGAAUUCCACUUACCCAUCCCGCACUCUAGCCUUCCAGUUUUCGGCGCACCCUCCCAGUUGAGCCGGGAGAUUUCACACCAGACUUAGAAAACCGCCUACACACCCUUUACGCCCAGUAACUCCGAACAACGCUCGCUGCCUACGUAUUACCGCGGCUGCUGGCAC